UAGGGAAUCUUCCGCAAUGGACGAAAGUCUGACGGAGCAACGCCGCGUGAGUGAAGAAGGAUUUCGGUUCGUAAAACUCUGUUGUUAGGGAAGAAAAAAUGUAUAGUAACUAUAUACAAAAGAGACGGUACCUAACCAGAAAGCCACGGCUAACUACGUGCCAGCAGCCGCGGUAAUACGUAGGUGGCAAGCGUUGUCCGGAAUUAUUGGGCGUAAAGCGCGCGCAGGUGGUUUAGAAAGUCUGAUGUGAAAGCCCACGGCUCAACCGUGGAGGGUCAUUGGAAACUAAUAAACUUGAGUGCAGGAGAGAGAAGUGGAAUUCCUGGUGUGGCGGUGAAAUGCGUAGAGAUUAGGAGGAACACCGGUGGCGAAAGCGGCUUUUUGGCCUGCAACUGACACUGAGGCGCGAAAGCGUGGGGAGCAAACAGG
rnacentral:rRNA from 1 species